CGCUGCUCAAAAGCCUACGAUGUCUGUAAAGAAGGGGACGUUCUGACUCCUGAACAAGCUCGGCUUCUGAAACUGUUUGCCAUUGAGAUGGCAGAAUUUAAAGUGCAGAUCAAAUGUAUGUGGAACUCGGAGACAGGCGAGUUUGAGAGUUUGCUGGUGGAGAAGAGCCCUCUGGAGGAAAAGGAUGAUGAUGAUGAUGAUGAUGAUGGCAGAAUAAAACUUCUGCAAAGACAGCUAACAUUUAAAAGCAGAUGGACUUAUUUGGAAGCUUGUCACACUUUUAUUAUAAAAAUUACUUCAAAACAGGAACUUGCAGUAUGCUGAAUUUAAUAUUUGUACAGAGUUGUUCAGUAAACACUGGACUGGUAUCAAAUCUU